GUGAGGAAUAUUGGUCAAUGGGCGAGAGCCUGAACCAGCCAAGUCGCGUGAAGGAUGAAGGUUUUAUGAAUUGUAAACUUCUUUUGCAGGGGAAUAAAGUACGGUACGUGUACCGUUUUGUAUGUACUCUGCGAAUAAGGAUCGGCUAACUCCGUGCCAGCAGCCGCGGUAAUACGGAGGAUCCAAGCGUUAUCCGGAUUUAUUCGGUUUAAAGGGUGCGCAGGCGGGUUGAUAAGUCGGCGGUGAAAGUUUGCAGCUUAACUGUAAAAUUGCCGUUGAAACUGUCGAUCUUGAGUGCAAAUGAGGUAAGCGGAAUGUGUUGUGUAGCGAUGAAAUGCUUAGAUAUAACACAGAACACCGAUUGCGAAGGCAGCUUACUGGGAUGCAACUGACGCUCAUGCACGAAAGCGUGGGGAUCAAACAGGAUUAGAAACCCCUGUAGUCC
rnacentral:rRNA from 1 species